GACGAACGCUGGCGGCGUGCUUAACACAUGCAAGUCGAACGGAAAGGCCUGCUUUCCCUUGUGGAUUGCGGGUACUCGAGUGGCGAACGGGUGAGUAACACGUGAGUGAUCUGCCCCCAACUUGGGUAUAAGCCUGGGAAACUGGGUCUAAUUCCCGAUAGGACUGCAGGGUGGUGCCUGUGGUGGAAAACGAUUUUCUAGUGGUUGGGGAUGAGCUCGCGGCCUAUCAGCUUGUUGGUGGGGUAAUGGCCUACCAAGGCGGCGACGGGUAGCCGGCCUGGGAGGGUGGACGGCCACAUUGGGACUGAGAUACGGCCCAGACUCCUACGGGAGGCAGCAGUGGGGAAUAUUGCACGAUGGGCGGAAGCCUGAUGCAGCGACGCCGCGUGGGGGAUGACGGCCUUCGGGUUGUAACCUCCUUUCGACCGCGAGGAAGCCACCUGGUUGGAAGGGUGGUGACGGUAGUGGUAGAAGAAGCACCGGCUAACUACGUG
rnacentral:rRNA from 1 species